rnacentral:rRNA from 1 species
CGGGUAGCGGAACACGUACAGAACCUUCCUUUAAGCGGGGGAUAGCCCAUAGAAAUGUGGAUUAAUACCCCAUAGUAAUAUUAACUGGCAUCAGUUGGUAUUUAAAGAUUUAUCACUUAAAGAUGGCUGUGCGGCUGAUUAGGUAGUUGGUGUGGGUAACGGCCCACCAAGCCAUCGAUCAGUAACUGGUGUGAGAGCACGACCAGUCACACGGGCACUGAGACACGGGCCCG